CCCGCUGAACUUAAGCAUAUCAAUAAGCGGAGGAAAAAAAACUAACAAGGAUUCCCUUAGUAACGGCGAGUGAACCGGGAAGAGCUCAAAUUUGAAAUCUGGCGUCCUCUGGGCGUCCGAGUUGUAACCUGUAGAAGCGUUUUCUGUGCCGGACCGUGUCCAAGUCCCUUGGAACAGGGUAUCAAAGAGGGUGACAAUCCCGUGCUUGACAUGACGACCGGUGCUAUGUGAUACGCUCUCCAUGAGUCGAGUUGUUUGGGAAUGCAGCUCAAAAUGGGUGGUAAAUUCCAUCUAAAGCUAAAUAUUGGCGAGAGACCGAUAGCGAACAAGUACCGUGAGGGAAAGAUGAAAAGCACUUUGGAAAGAGAGUUAAACAGUACGUGAAAUUGUUGAAAGGGAAACGAUUGAAGUCAGUCGUGUCUGGGGGGUUCAGCCGGUUCUGCCGGUGCAUUCCCCUCGGAUGGGUCAACAUCGGUUUUGGCCGACAGAUAAUGGCAGGGGGAAGGUGGCACCCUUGGGUGUGUUAUAGCCCUCUGUCGGAUACGUCGGCUGAGACCGAGGAACGCAGCUCGCCUUCAUGGCCGGGGUUCGCCCACGUCCGAGCUUAGGAUGUUGACAAAAUGGCUUUAAACGACCCGUCUUGAAACACGG
rnacentral:rRNA from 1 species